UGACAAAAAGGGUACAAGCCUUUCUUUGG
rnacentral:piRNA from 1 species